AUUGAACGCUGGCGGCAUGCCUAACACAUGCAAGUCGAACGGCAGCACAGUAACAUCUUGCUCGUACGGGUGGGGAGUGGCGGACGGGUGAGAACUACAGCUGAACCUACUUUUUCGUUGGGGAUAACGUAGCGAAACUUAUGCUAAUACCGCAUACGACCUGCGGGUGAAAGAACGGGAUCUUCGGACCUUUCGCGUUUGAAUGUGCCGAUGUCGGAUUAGCUAGUUGUCGGGGUAAAGGCCCACCAAGGCGACGAUCAGUAGCUGGUCUGAGAGGACGACCAGCCACACUGGGACUGAGACACGGCCCAGACUCCUACGGGAGGCAGCAGUGGGGAAUAUUGGACAAUGGGCGAAAGCCUGAUCCAGCAAUGCCGCGUGGGUGAAGAAGGCCUUCGGGUUGUAAAGCACUUUUGUUGGGAAAGAAAAGCUUCGGCCUAAUACGGCGGUGUUAUGACGGUACCCGAAGAAUAAGCACCGGCUAACUUCGUG
rnacentral:rRNA from 1 species